AGUGAACGCUGGCGGUAGGCCUAACACAUGCAAGUCGAACGGCAGCACAGUAAGAGCUUGCUCUUACGGGUGGCGAGUGGCGGACGGGUGAGGAAUACAUCGGAAUCUACUUUUUCGUGGGGGAUAACGUAGGGAAACUUACGCUAAUACCGCAUACGACCUACGGGUGAAAGCAGGGGAUCUUCGGACCUUGCGCGAUUGAAUGAGCCGAUGUCGGAUUAGCUAGUUGGCGGGGUAAAGGCCCACCAAGGCGACGAUCCAUAGCUGGUCUGAGAGGAUGAUCAGCCACACUGGAACUGAGACACGGUCCAGACUCCUACGGGAGGCAGCAGUGGGGAAUAUUGGACAAUGGGCGCAAGCCUGAUCCAGCCAUACCGGGUGGGUGAAGAAGGCCUUCGGGUGGUAAAGCCUUUUUGUUGGGAAAGAAAAGCAGCAGGUUAAUACCCCGCUGUUCGGACGGUACCCAAAGAAUAAGCACCGGCUAACUUCGU
rnacentral:rRNA from 1 species